UGCAUCGGCCGGGAAUCGAACCCGGGCCGCCCGCGUGGCAGGCGAGGGCAGGCGAGCAUUCUACCACUGAACCACCGAUGG